AAGAGACAGCAGCAGCCGCGGGAAUACGGAGGGUGCAAGCGUUAUCCGGAUUUAUUGGGUUUAAAGGGUCCGUAGGCGGAUCUGUAAGUCAGUGGUGAAAUCUCACAGCUUAACUGUGAAACUGCCAUUGAUACUGCAGGUCUUGAGUAAAUUUGAAGUGGCUGGAAUAAGUAGUGUAGCGGUGAAAUGCAUAGAUAUUACUUAGAACACCAAUUGCGAAGGCAGGUCACUAAGAUUUAACUGACGCUGAUGGACGAAAGCGUGGGGAGCGAACAGGAUUAGAUACCCCCGUAGUCCCUGUCUCUUAUAC
rnacentral:rRNA from 1 species